rnacentral:tRNA from 1 species
AUACGAUGAUUAUUGCGAUGAGUGUUCACACAGAUUGGUAUGGUUUAGAAAGUUUAGAGUAUCUUAGUGUCCCGUUCGUCUAGAGGCCUAGGACACCGCCCUUUCACGGCGGUAACAGGGGUUCGACUCCCCUACGGGAUACCAUCUUUAAGCAUUCUUGCGAGUGUGUUUAAAAAUGGUUUCGAAAGAAAUCUGCUCUUUAACAAUUUGGAAAGCUGACAAAACAACAAUUUAUUGUUGUUUGUAAAGUUCUCAAUGUUUGUCUUUAUGACAAACACCAACAAACACAUUCAAGUGUUCUUGGGAAGGUCACUUUAGUGACUAUUCAAAAUUGAGUCCGGCAAAAUCAACGCUAUCUCGCUCAUUCAAAUAAUGAGAUAGCAACUUUGGUUGUUUAACAAAGACCCUUUGGGGUUGUAU